rnacentral:rRNA from 1 species
AGUGAACGCUGGCGGUAGGCCUAACACAUGCAAGUCGAACGGAAGCACAGUAAGAUCUUGCUCUUACGGGUGGCGAGUGGCGGGCGGGUGAGGAAUACAUCGGAAUCUACUUUUUCGUGGGGGAUAACGUAGGGAAACUUACGCUAAUACCGCAUACGACCUACGGGUGAAAGCAGGAGAUCUUCGGACCUUUCGCGAUUGAAUGAGCCGAUGUCGGAUUAGCUAGUUGGGAGGGUAAAGGCCCACCAAGGCGACGAUCCGUAGCUGGUCUGAGAGGAUGAUCAGCCACACUGGAACUGAGACACGGUCCAGACUCCUACGGGAGGCAGCAGUGGGGAAUAUUGGACAAAGGGCGCAAGCCUGAUCCAGCCAUACCGCGUGAGUGAAGAAGGCCUUCGGGUUGUAAAGCCCUUUUGUUGGGAAAGAAAAGCAGCAGGUUAAUACCCCGCUGUUUUGACGGUACCCAAAGAAUAAGCACCGGCUAACUUCGUG